GGACGGCCUUACCUGAGCCCGGACCACCUGGAGACACAGAUAGAGGGGGGAUCAGUCUAUGAAGGAACAAUCUGCUGACAGAGAGGAGACCAUGAAGGAAACCGAAGGGCAAGACGGAGGAAGAAUCGGGAGAUGGAAGGUAUUGACUGCUCACCUGGACAGAAAGCCCCGCCCAAAACUAUUUGAUUGACAGCUCAGUCCAAAAGUCUCCGCUGGUCAUGCUGCCCGGGCUCCCAGUCGCUCCUGUCUGCCAAGAAACUCAGAACCUGCGCUCACCUCUGGAGGACGAGGCGUCUCGUCCCUGCCUGCCUCAGCCUGUCCCCGCUGCCCCAUCCUCUGGAUCUCCAAGACCGCCACAACCACCCUCCGUCGCUAGCCCACCCAGCGGAGAACAAGCCUGGACUGCCAGUAUCCGGUGGCCUGUCCGCCCCCCUCCCAGCCCAUAUUAGCAGACAGAGCCAUGCUGCCUCCCGGCACUGUCACUCAAUACCAACUGAAGACAAAAAAAAAUAAGGGAAUUUCUUCCUCCAGAGGUGAGAAGGAAGACCAGUGUUGGUGUUUUUCUGCUCUGGGAGACAUCGGACUUGAAUGCUGUUUGGAAACGGGACGUUAAAACCAUCAAACCUGCUAAAGACGGCGUGCCCAACCCUCAUGGGUUUACAAGACACUGAGAUAAGAUCUUUAUUCAUCCAUGGAGCAGGCCUCUCUGCAGAUCGUAGACUUCCUGUGCACCUACAGAACUGGACCAUGAAGAAUGAUGAUUGGGUUCGUGAGCGGACUGGACGCUGAUUGAAGCCGACUGCGCCUCUUCCUCCCUAAUCUGCUCUCUGGCCUCUGGUCAUUUUUAGGAGUCAUGUAUUUUCCAAAAAAGCAGGAUAUGUAAGUCAUAAUUUGUAUUGAAAUAUUUUGACCUAGUUUUUUAAUUUUAUUUCAUUAACCCUUUGAUGCACAACAUGGGUGAAAAGUGAUCCAUAUUCAAUGGAAAAUGGGUAUCUUUCAAUCCAUGUUCUGCACAAAGGGUUAAGACGGCUUCUCUGUUUGUGAGCAUGAAGAGACUUCAGAGACUUGGCAGCUUUGCAGUAGGAAUAAAAACUUACUUCAGUCUA